GCCGGGCAUGGUGGCUCACGCCUGUAAUCCCAGCACUUUGGGAGGCCGAGACAGGUGGAUCACUUGAGGCCAGGAGUUCAAGACCAGCCUGGCCAACAUGGUGAAACCCUGUCUCUA
ensembl:misc_RNA Metazoa_SRP Metazoan signal recognition particle RNA